rnacentral:rRNA from 1 species
AUGAACGCUGGCGGCGUGCCUAACACAUGCAAGUCGAGCGAUCUUCUUCGGAAGAGAGCGGCGGACGGGUGAGUAACGCGUGGUGUGACCUGCCCUGUACACACGGAUAACAUACCGAAAGGUAUGCUAAUACGGGAUAAUAUGCUUUUAUCGCAUGGUAGAAGUAUCAAAGCUCCGGCGGUACAGGAUGGACCCGCGUCUGAUUAGCUAGUUGGUAAGGUAAUGGCUUACCAAGGCGACGAUCAGUAGCCGACCUGAGAGGGUGAUCGGCCACAUUGGAACUGAGACACGGUCCAAACUCCUACGGGAGGCAGCAGUGGGGAAUAUUGCACAAUGGGCGAAAGCCUGAUGCAGCAACGCCGCGUGAGCGAUGAAGGCCUUCGGGUCGUAAAGCUCUGUCCUCAAGGAAGAUAAUGACGGUACUUGAGGAGGAAGCCCCGGCUAACUACGUGCCAGCAGCCGCGGUAAUACGUAGGGGGCUAGCGUUAUCCGGAAUUACUGGGCGUAAAGGGUGCGUAGGUGGUUUCUUAAGUCAGAGGUGAAAGGCUACGGCUCAACCGUAGUAAGCCUUUGAAACUGGGAAACUUGAGUGCAGGAGAGGAGAGUGGAAUUCCUAGUGUAGCGGUGAAAUGCGUAGAUAUUAGGAGGAACACCAGUUGCGAAGGCGGCUCUCUGGACCUGUACUGACACUGAGGCACGAA